UGUGAAGGUCCAUCUGUGCUUUCUGCUGCAAGCUACGAAACCAGAAGUUUCCUUGUCCUGGAAAGGGUGAUUUUAUCCAAGAUCUUCAAAGUGGAGCGAGCCAUGUGACUGUAGGGAUGCAGUCCAACUGACUCAUGAGGAGCUCAGCAGAGGGAGAUGAGGCAUGUGCACGGCUGCAGCUCUGGGAGCAGCUCUGGGAGGCUGCACAGGAAUGCGGUCCCAUCUCACAGUGUGACAGCCCUAGACCAAGGUACAAAGGCAUCUGAAGGAUUUUAAGAGCAAUCCCUCCACAGGAAUGGCUUGAAUGUAUUCACAGUGCCACACACCUCCAGAAAGCAGGAUGUGCUUCUUAUUAGCAGCUGAGGACGGCUUGCUGAAAGGCUGCCAGCAUUUUCUUAUGAGAGAGAGCAUUACAUGCACUUAGUGAGUACAUGUGCAUAUAUAGAUAUAUAUAUUUCUAAUGUGUAUGUAAUGUUGUUUCUUGGCAUUUAUUUGGGGAAGGCUAGGUGGCACUGGGCAGUUCGUGCUGUGUCAGUUCUUAUUUGCUCUCACGUUCUUCUGUUUAUGUGAAUGCUCACACUGCAUGGAGCAAUGUCCUCUGCUACUGAGGGCAAGAAACCUCUCAGGUCCUCAUGGAGCCAAACGGAGAGGAAACAGGACAAGAAGGACACACAGGUCCAGAAGAGUGCCACAGAAAUGACCCAAGGGAUGGAACACCUCCCUACAAGGACAAGCUGAGAGAGCUGGGGCUGUUCAGUCUGGAGAAGAGAAGGCUCUGAAGAGACCUAAGGGCAACCUGUCAGUAUCUAAAGACAGCCUCAGUGGGCUAAUAGCCAAGAGGGUCGAGGUAUUAAAGCACCCUGCACAGACCACAGCAGAUGGAAAAGAUCUGAGUUGGGCAAAAUGAUCGUUGCUGAAAGUUGCACUGUUACGUGAAACCAUUACAGGAGAGCAGAGCACCAGGAAAGGAGCAUCUUGCCUAUUGGACACAUUUUUGUGA
rnacentral:lncRNA from 1 species